rnacentral:rRNA from 1 species
CCUACGGGAGACAGCAGUGAGGAAUAUUGGUCAAUGGACGCAAGUCUGAACCAGCCAUGCCGCGUGCAGGAAGACGGCUCUAUGAGUUGUAAACUGCUUUUGUACGAGGGUAAACGCAGAUACGCGUAUCUGCCCGUAAGUAUCGUACGAAUAAGGAUCGGCUAACUCCGUGACAGCAGCCGCGGUCAUACGGAGGAUUCAAGCGUUAUCCGGAUUUAUUGGGUUUAACGGGAGCGUAGGCGGUCGGAUAAGUUAGAGGUGAAAUCCCGAGGCUCAACUUCGGAAUUGCCUCUGAUACUGCUCGGCUAGAGAGUAGUUGCGGUAGGCGGAAUGUAUGGUGUAGCGGUGAAAUGCUUAGAGAUCAUACAGAACACCGAUUGCGAAGGCAGCUUACCAAGCUACUUCUGACGUUGAGGCACGAAAGCGUGGGGAGCAAACAGGAUUAGAUACCCCUGUAGUC